rnacentral:rRNA from 1 species
GUUAGGAAUAUUGGACAAUGGGCGCAAGCCUGAUCCAGCCAUGCCGCGUGAGUGAUGAAGGCCUUCGGGUUGUAAAGCUCUUUAGCCGAUGAUUAUAAUGACUGUAGUCGGAAAAUAAGCCCCGGCUAACUUCGUGCCAGCAGCCGCGGUAAUACGAAGGGGGCGAGCGUUAUUCGGAAUCACUGGGCGUAAAGCGUGCGUAGGAGGCUUUGCAAGUUGGGAGUGAAAGCCCAGGGCUCAACCCUGGAAUUGCUCUCAAAACUGCAAGGCUCGAAUUCGGGAGAGGAUAGCGGAAUUGUCAGUGUAGCAGUGAAAUGCGUAGAUAUUGACAGGAACACCAGUGGCGUAAGCGGCUAUCUGGACCGAUAUUGACGCUGAGGCACGAAAGCGUGGGGAUCAAACAGGAUUAGAAACCCUUGUAGUCC